rnacentral:misc_RNA from 1 species
GAUGAAGAACGUAGCGAAAUGCGAUAAGUAAUGUGAAUUGCAGAAUUCAGUGAAUCAUCGAAUCUUUGAACGCACAUUGCGCCCGCCAGUAUUCUGACGGGCAUGCCUGUUCGAGCGUCAUUUCAACCAUCAAGCCCCCGGCUUGUGUUGGGGUCCUGCGGGCUGCUCGCAGGCCCUGAAAACCAGUGGCGGGCUCGCUAGUUACACCGAGCGCAGUAAUACAUCUUCGCUCAGGGCGUGCGGCGGGUUCUUGCCGUAAAACAACCCCUUAUAUCUCAAGGUUGACCUCGGAUCAGGUAGGAAUACCCGCUGAACUUAAGCAUAUCAAUAAGCGGAGGA